AAAUAAAGUCCGGAAGCACGUAGAAUCCGAAUGUUUGGUUUCAUCGAAGCUUCAAAUGUGACCUGACUGCUUCUGUUCACACUCUCUCAAACUGCCAAGCAGUAGUCGACAACAGGCCGCUGACAAAUUGAUGUGGUGGGAGGUGACAGGAGCAGUCCAGUUGGGGUAAAGCAGCUGUCCAAGUGUGUGGCCCAUUACCAUGAAGCAGCAGGGGUGAAUUCCAAGCUGAGUCUUCUGGGACGUCUCCGAGAGGAAAGCAUCCCCCAGGACCGUCUUCACCUGCCAGGCUUCUCGCCCCGAGUCCCGCUCAGCAUCCCGGGGCCAGACAUAGCUUCAGCUUGUUGUCAGGCUGCCUCGGGGUACCCGGGGGAGAGCCAAGUGGGUAUUAGGAAUCUCGACCCAACACCCAAUUUGAAUGUGGAAAAAGACUCAUUCAUCGUACCUAUCAAGAAAAAGAUGGCACGGUUUGGUAGAGGUUAUUGGUUUGACGCUGCCUUUGUUGGGUGGCGUUAAUAUUUUUUCUGCAUGCUUGCAGCUUUGUCCCACAUUCCAGAAACACUCUUGUUAAGUUAAUUGAAGACUAUAAAUGGCCCAUAGGGGCGAACCAAUGUUGGUCUAUUUGUACCCAGUGCGCCAUAUGCUCAAGGUUAAGUGCCAGCAAAUGUAUGAAUGGAUAUGCAGGGUUGUUCUGUGCUGAUAACCUUCUGUCAUUGCACAGCACAAUUCAAUGACAAUGCUGUUAAAAGUACUGAUUUGUAUUUAAUUAAUGUUAUGUCCAAAUUUUAAUUUUUACCCUAAUUUUUACUUGUGGGUCCCGCCCCCAAGGUGACUAUCGUGUAACCGUCUGGCCCUCUGACAAUUAUAGUUGGUGACCCCUGCAGUUGGUAUUUAAAAUGUGCCUACCCAAUUGUUGUUUUUAGAAUUUGGCCAAUUUUGUCUUAAUAAUCACUUUCAAAUAUUUGAUUCAAAUCCCAAAUGACAAAAAUGCAAAAACAAUGAAGCAUAAUAAUUAUUUUGGCAGAGGCAUUUUUUUCUUGCAUCUGUUAUACGUAGUAAUACUCACAAGAUGUCUUCAUUAAGUGUUAUUGAGGGAACGCCUUCAACUUUAAUGCCACACUUGUUGCAUUUGUUCACACUACAGACUGAAGCGCCGCUAUUAUUUAACUCCAAGUCCCAACACAUGCGCCGCAUGUCAUUUCCUUCACUUUGUGUUUGAGCAGUUGCCAAGCAUAGCAGGUGGCGCUAUGCAUGUGCACAUGUGUACGAAGGACACAUACAAGACCUUGACGCUGUUUGUCCAACCCGCACGAGCUCCAUCGUCUUUUGCUGGACACAAGAUGGAUACAAUUCCCUCUCUCAGAGUGCACAAAGUCGAGCUGCAAACACAUUUGAGUUGAAGUAUGUGACUGUAAAAGUCUUGGUGAUGUAUUGACAGACUGACAUCGACAGUAUCUUCUUUUCAACAUGAGGGAAUCACACAGAGCGCCGCUCAGCCAUCAAUCCUAAGGCAUAACAUACGUGUCGUCUUGUUAACCCUUUCAGUUUGUUUUAUUGGGCCGAUGAGGCUGCGGGGCUUUCACCGGGAUCCUGGAGUGCGUCAGAUUGUCUGCGGGCCUAUGUUUGGAUAAGGCAGCAUGUCCAUUGUCUCUGAUGACCCAGCUGGGCCGAGGUAUGCCCGCAUAGUCCUGAAAUAGAAAGACAGCUGAGAGCUGCCACGCAUAGUGAGGGCAGGACCGGCCGCGCUCGCCGGGCCUACGGACUCAGACGACAACGAGAGAUGUGGCUAUUGUCUGGAGCCACUGGCUAAUAGCUACAAGACUGAUUAGCUUUGUGGGUGGGGCUGGGCUAUGCGACUGGAUGUCAUGAGGCCACAGUCAGUGUGGAAGAAUAAUUGGGGCUUUAGGGUGCGUUUGUGCCACGCGCCAGCCCGUCUCCAAUGUGAUGACCCGAUGGCUGAGCCCACAGCGCUGCUGCAAUGCAUUCUGGUCGGGCGCAAGGCGUUUACAAAAAUAUCCACCGCCGACGAAUGCUUUGAUCCAAACGCCACCUCGCCGACCUUUUUAUUGUAUGAGCUGUUGUGAUAGUUGCUUUAUUUAGACGCAAUGUUUAAAACAGGUUCGCAGCACAAGGUGAAAUAUGAUAAAUGGUGAAAGCGUGGCUCGCCGAUGAAAAGCAUGGUGCACAGAAUUUUGGGACCGGUUGGAAAUCCUGAGGAUUUUGACAAUUUAAAAA